AUUGAACACUGGCGGCAGGCCUAACACAUGCAAGUCGAGCGAGCGGCGGACGGGUGAGUAAUGCCUGGGAAUUGCCCAGUCGAGGGGGAUAACAGUUGGAAACGACUGCUAAUACCGCAUACGAUUGGAUUGCCCAGGUGGGAUUAGCUAGUUGGUGAGGUAAUGGCUCACCAAGGCGACGAUCCCUAGCUGGUCUGAGAGGAUGAGCAGCCACACUGGAACUGAGACACGGUCCAGACUCCUACGGGAGGCAACAGGUGGGAAUAUUUGACAAUGGGGGAAACCCUUAUUGAGCCAUGCCGCGUUGUUGAAGAAGGCCUUCGGGGUUGAAAGCUCUUUCAGCGAGGAGGCGUUACUCGCAGAAGAAGCACCGGCUAACUCCGUUCCAGCAGCCGCGGUAAUUC
rnacentral:rRNA from 1 species